CAGCAGCCACGGGAAUACGUAGGGUGCGAGCGUUAAUCGGAAUUACUGGGCGUAAAGCGUGCGCAGGCGGUUAUAUAAGACAGAUGUGAAAUCCCCGGGCUCAACCUGGGACCUGCAUUUGUGACUGUAUAGCUAGAGUACGGUAGAGGGGGAUGGAAUUCCGCGUGUAGCAGUGAAAUGCGUAGAUAUGCGGAGGGACACCGAUGGCGAAGGCAAUCCCCUGGACCUGUACUGACGCUCAUGCACGAAAGCGUGGGGAGCAAACAGGAUUAGAGACCCCCGUAGUCCCUGUCUCUUAUAA
rnacentral:rRNA from 1 species